AGGGUAGUAGUUUAACAAAAAUAUUAGCAUUGGAAGCUAAAGACUAGGUAAUCAAACCUACACCUUGAA
rnacentral:tRNA from 1 species